AGAUGGUCUCCACGAGAAGGUCUCCGAGCUCCUCGUCUCGUCGGGUGCAAUUCGAUUCACGUGAAUUUAAGGGGCGCGCCCAUCUGCACCCAGCUCCUUGAAGCAGAAUUCACUUGUCUAGCCUGACAGACCCUAAUGUAUAGGUUUGUGCUUUGCUAGCUGAAUUACUCCGUGCUUUCUGUGGAUGUUACUUCAAAGACUCAUCAAAUUUCCGCCUACGCCGCUCUAUGUCUGAGAAGUUGAAGCAAUUUUGCGUGGAAGUUUCGUUUCCCUUCGAUGUCCGAGAAGAGAGCUCCUAGGAAGUUCGUCCGCUCGGUGGACUGGAGCAAUAUCCAGAUCCAGUCACUGUCUCCGAUCAUCCUUAUAUCUCACUGCCUCUUCUGUUUUGUAGCAGUCACAUCAGUUCAUAUGUGCAUAUCAGAGGAAAUAUGCUUUCACCAGGCGUGUUGGACCCAGCAUACCAAGUUCCCAGGUUGCAAAUAUGAUCCUAGCUAGCCAUUAAUAUGAUGGUUCCACAUUUUCUUAGCAUGAGGACUCUGCUAAUCAGUGUAACAAAUAUGUUGUUGCGCUGCCUAAUUUGUGCUAAUUCUGAAAAUAUGUGCCCCUAAUCUCUGAUAAUAGUAUGCGCAGACCCAAAAUGUCGGAGUUCUUAAGGACAUGCAAGUACUUAUUCUGUGCUUUUCCUGCUGAAAUGCACUUUAGUAUAUCAAAAUGACACUUCAUGAGGUGUUUGAAUUUUCUACUCACAUUCAGAUCGAGGGGUAGCGCACCAACCAACUGGUGCAAGCUGUACACUGAUGGCAUCCAGUCUGCCCUUCCAGUCAAUUUAGUUACCAAUCCUGUUCGUCUGUCUUUUCUGUGAUCUGAUUCACACGACUUAUGAGGCACACCCAUCUAUGUGCCAGAUGUCUGAAUCAGGAGGGUCAGGAAGCAGAAUUCAGCUGUGUAACCUGACAAUGAUUUGCAGGAGAAGCGAUUGAUGUGGGCUUUCUGUUUCUAAGUUUGUCCGCUCGGUGGACUGGAGCGAUAUCCAAGUUAGUUGCAGCGUCCAAUCGUCCAUAUAUGUCAUCGUUCGGUCUGUUUUGUACCGUCAUAUUUCAUAUGUGCAUUGGAUAAAAUGUGCUUUCUGUACGCAUGUUUAGAGUGGACCGAGUCACAAAUCUCAUUUAUAUGGCCAUAGGUAGUGAUCAAUAAAAGGGCACUGGAAUUUAUCUUCUAA